CGAAGUGAUGGCGGACGAGACGCGGCGACAUCUGUCCCCCCCCCCCUUCUCAGCGCUCCUCUUCAGCAGCCACACCGGCUGCGUGCCUUCCCAUCCAUCAUCGUGCGCGUGAUUCUGCGCGCACGCACUUUGACUAACGAAAUAAAAGCUUCACAAGCGGGAAGGCCGAAUGAGCGUCAAUGCCAUCAAGGCGGCGUGGCACGGCGCGGCGGAGCUGAAGCGGCACUGCAACCACGUUAUCAACACGCUGGGACCGCAGACGCCACCCGAGGCGUUCCUCUACCGCGGGAACGCCUACUAUGCACUGGGCCAGCCGUACUUCGCGCUGGCCGACUACAAUACGGCCGCGUCGGUGCUGAGGCUCUCCGGCGAGCACCAACGUCGCUGCAGCAAGGCACUCGAGUCGUUCCCGGCAACGCAGACCGGUGUGUACCCCUCCACCGACUCCCAUCUGCACAUCUUUGUCAAGCCGAUGCUGUCCAAGUCUUGUGCUAUCGAGGCUAUCAACGAGCACGUCGGGCGCGGGGUGCGGGCGACGGAGAACAUGCCUCGCAACAGCGUCGCUGUGCAGCCAACAAACCCAUGGCUUCUGUACCCAACGGAAGAAGGGUUGUGCUCGUACUGUGGCACCAGCCUGCCAGAGCGCAGCUUCGCAUGCACGAAUGACAGCUGCCACGAGGAGUACUGCAGCCGCGACUGCCGACAGGAGGCCAUGGCACACUAUCACGCUGCGGUGUGCCGUAACAAGGACUAUCAGAGCAUUGAGCUCGAUGUCUUUGCGCAGAUGACGGAGGCGCAGAAGGCUGGUGCAGUUGCGGAGCGCAAUGCCGCCGCAGCGCAGCUCCUCAUGCUGCGCGUCCUGUCCACGGGCAUGCAGAAGCACGUGGUGCCGUCGGCCAUGGGACAGGUCCGCAUCUUGUCGGGUCGCCUUACAUUCAGCCCACAGGUGCUGGCCAGAUCAAUGCUGCACCUGUAUGAGCGCCUCACACGCGCGUUGCACAUCGCUACGAUUGUGCCGUACGAGGAGAUGAUAGGCGUCUUGGCGCGCAUUACAGCGAACUGCUUCCACCGCGACGGCACUGUGGAGCUCAACCUGCCCCGAUCGAUGCUGAACCACUCCUGCGCGGCGAACGUCGCUGAGGAUGGGCAAACCAGGGCCAUGAUCACUACACGCGACGUCGCGCGUGGCGAGGAGCUCGUUAUCAACUACUACCCGCACCUGAAGGAUCUGCCUUACGCAGAGCGCACUGCAGAGCUGGAGCGGCGCGGCUUCCGCUGCAUGUGCGCUAAGUGCCAGCGGCGCGAGUAGGUGUGCCUCACAAGGACAAAGAAUGAUGAGAUCGGCUCGGGGUGUGAGUCGCGUUGUCUGAUGGAGAGGAAAAGGUGAAGGAAAGCGGAGGGGGCUGGUGGUGGUUUGACCGAGAUGAUCUUGAUGUUCGCCUUCCUCUUACCUGCCCCACCCCACCCCUCCCAUUCCUGUGAGGCGGGAGAGGGAGAGAGUCAGGGAGGAGAUAUGUGCCACACAGCGCUGUGCUGCUUGGGCAGCCACAGCUGCCACGGAGUGUCCUCUAAUACACAAUCGUGCAUGCAGGCUAUCCGAGCCAUUUUCUGUUUUUCGCGCGCACUUCUGCCCCUCGCCACCCACCCCUUCUCACUGCCUGCAAGUUUGAAGCAAAGUAGAAUUGGGUGGGGGCCGUGUGGAGGGAGAAAGGAAGUGUAGUGAGAGAUGGCGAGCAGCGGUGGAGACUCGUACCUGCGCAUCUGUAUGUAUGCAUAUACGGUUGUGUGUUUGUGUGCUUGCCGUUGCCGUGCGGCUGCUGUUCAUCGUCCUCGAAUUGCAUUCUCCGUCUCAGGAGAGUACGUCUGUACAGAGUCUCUCGAAUUCGCUUCCCUCUGUGUGUGCGUCUGUGUAUGGCUGUGCGGCGGCAGCGGCGGGGGAGAGGAGUGAAUCGCCACAAGCGUAUGCGCGCCUCCAACGCACGAGGGACGUGUAUCGAGGCGCGGAGAGGGACGGGAGGCUGGUUCGACAAGAGCGCACACGCAAGCGUGUGACCUGGUUCAGUGAGACUUCCCCUCGCGUCCAGUCGAUACAGACAGAGGGCGUGGUCAUGAUCGCUGCACCUCUCUCCCUCCUCCUUCUGCCCGUCUCUCAUCCUCCUCGAUCAUCCGCCGAGGACCUUGCUACGGCCUUCAGUCAGUGCAACACCUUCGGCCUCUUG
rnacentral:misc_RNA from 1 species